rnacentral:pre_miRNA from 1 species
UGUGUACUCCCUCCGUUCCAAAAUACUUGACUUCCAUUUGUCCAAAAAUGGAUAUACCUAUAUACUAACACAUGUCUAGAUACAUAUAUAUUUUGACAAAUAGAAGGCAUGUAUUGUGCAACGGAGGGAGUAGAAU